rnacentral:rRNA from 1 species
CAAUAGCGUAUAUUAAAGUUGUUGCAGUUAAAAAGCUCGUAGUUGGAUUUCUGGUAGGAGUGACCGUUCCGAACUUGAUUGUUCGUGUAUUGUGUUUUCUCCAGCCAUCCUUGUGGAGAACUUUUCUUGCAUUAAUUUGUAGGGAUUGGGACCCGCAUCGUUUACUGUGAAAAAAUUAGAGUGUUUAAAGCAGGCAAUCGCUUGAAUACAUUAGCAUGGAAUAAUAAGAUAGGACUUUGGUACUAUUUUGUUGGUUUGCAUACCAAAUUAAUGAUCAACAGGAGCAGUUUGAGGAUAUUCGUAUGAACAUGUCAGAGGUGAAAUUCUUGGAUUUUGAUCAGACGAACUACUGCGAAAGCAUUUAUCAAGGAUGUUUUCAUUAA